rnacentral:rRNA from 1 species
UACGGAGGAUGCGAGCGUUAUCCGGAUUUAUUGGGUUUAAAGGGUGCGUAGGCGGUGCAUUAAGUCAGCGGUAAAAGCCCGGGGCUCAACCCCGGCGAGCCGUUGAAACUGGUGUGCUUGAGAGGCCGAGAGGUAUGCGGAAUGCGCGGUGUAGCGGUGAAAUGCAUAGAUAUCGCGCAGAACUCCGAUUGCGAAGGCAGCAUACCGGCGGUCAUCUGACGCUGAGGCACGAAAGCGUGGGGAUCAAACAGG